AGCAGUAAGGUAAAUUUGCUCCAGAAUUGUUUGAGGGAAAAAUAGUGUUAAUCUUAUCAAAGAUUCCAAAAUGAUUACCAUGUUAUCUUUGUGAAAAUGGCAUGUAUGCCAUUUUUCUUUUGUCUAUACUUUCUGAAAAUUGGUAUUAUCUGUAAAAUGUUGAUACCAGCAACUCAUUAGUUGUGCGCUACUCUGUUAGGAGUCGCAUAUUAAGACUGAGAAGCAUCAUUAAUUCCGUUGCUGUUUUCAUUUGUUGACAAUGUAGCAUAACCCAGAUGCAAGAAUUGGCUUCUCUUUCACAGAUGUGUUCUGAUUUAGACAGGAAAGAUUUUCCUUGGAUGUGGCAUAUUUUGUCAACAGAGUAUUAGAGAAGGAUCCCAUAAAACGGAGGUAAAGGGGGGGUUUGUGUUCUACAAAUCAAGAGACAUCCAUUCUUCUAGUUAUAAUACUAUAAGAUUGAUCAUGACUGAGCGAGAGGCGUCAAAUACCCCGAAAAUGACCAUACUUUAGAAUGACCUGUACUCACCAAACCAGUAAAAACAAGGAUCCAGACAUAAAGACAACAGCUGCGGGUGAUGCCCUCAAGUUAAGUGCAGAGGCAACAGUGGACAUUGGUCGUACCAUCCACUGUGAACCCUGAGAAGGAUGAGUUUUCUUGCCUUGGGAAGAUCCAGAUCAUGACCUGAGAGGGCAGCCACGUAUGGAGGUUCGUCAUCCCCGGGGAAUACCUCGCUAAUGGCACCCUCAGGAAAU